CUUCCCUACGGGGGGCAGCAGUGAGGAAUAUUAGUCAAUGGGCGAGAGCCUGAACCAGCCAAGUCGCGUGAAGGAUGACGGCUCUAUGGGUUGUAAACUUCUUUUGUCAGGGAGCAAUUGAGUCCACGUGUGGGCUUCGCGAGAGUACCUGAAGAAAAAGCAUCGGCUAACUCCGUGCCAGCAGCCGCGGUAAUACGGAGGAUGCGAGCGUUAUCCGGAUUUAUUGGGUUUAAAGGGUGCGUAGGCGGAAUAUCAAGUCAGCGGUAAUAAUUCGGGGCUCAACCCAGUCGUGCCGUUGAAACUGA
rnacentral:rRNA from 1 species